rnacentral:tRNA from 1 species
GGCCCCAUCGUCUAGUGGCCUAGGACACCUGGCUUUCAUCCAGGUAAUCGUGGGUUCGACUCCCACUGGGGUCA